UGAGGCUUAUUGGAUGUUAAAUUAUAGGAGCCUCUAUCCCAUUGACUGAAUUUUUUUUUUGUGGGGGGAGUAAUCUUCUCACCCACAUGAAAGUAAGGAAUUCUUCCAUAAGCAUUUAAGUACUACCAUUAAGGGAACUCAAAGAGGUCAUUUACAAAAUAGCUCAUUUACCCUUCCCACCAAGAAUUUGUUGCUUUCAUUGAAGGGAGUGGUUUUUUGAGAAUUGGCUGGCCCGGCAUUAAGCUUAAAUCAUUUGCUUUCCAUCUUACUCCUCCUUUCCCUUGACCUUAUCUGGGAUUUUACUUUAUUAAUUAACUUGAAAAGUGCUUUCUAUAGGUAGCAUGAGUUUUUGGUUAAAAAACAGUUCGAAAAACACCCCCCAAAAUGUAGUGAGAAGAAAAUCAUUUGAAUUCCUAUCCCCCCCAGGCUUCUAGUUCUCUUUUCUAAAGACAGACUCUCAAACAAGCUUUUUCUGUUUUCCUAAGCUAUGUCUAAUUAAGUAUGUGUUACUAUAUAGCUGCCUCUUUUUAUACACACGGCACCAUAUUAUUCUGUGUCGUACCAUUUCUUUUCCACUUAAUAUUUCUUAAAGAUGAUUGCCUAUCUGUGUAGAGAUUUACUUCAUUCCAUUUACAUUUUACAAUAUUGAUAAAAUGUAUUCUAUUUUAUCUCUUUCUAGUGCCUGACGUGUGGCCAGAUCCCAGAAGAUGAGUUUCUCUAAGAAGAUCACAUGAACCAUCCCGAAAGGCCUGUUGCUUCGAAGCUCAGGAAUCCAGGGACCCCUUCCUAUUAUGCGAACUUCCUGGGACCAUCUGAGAAUGUCUGUGGUAGAGACUUUGGUGAAUUUCAUCUGUCCUGUGGCCAAAGGAAUGAAAGGAAGAGCAACUUAGUUUGUUAAUAUGGAAGAAUUCAGCAACAAAAAACCCAUGACACAUGUCUGGAAGAGGCUUCAUUGAGGGAUUUUUUUAUUUUUCAAACAAAGCAUUCUAAAAUGUUUUACUACUGCUUAUUAAAGGGCACUCUAUGCACAUAGCCUUAUACUAAUUAGCCUUAUACUAAUUUCAGAGCUGUAGUGAUAUAUUUUUAAUCCAACAAAACUUUCUGGUUGGUAUUUCUAUUUCACAAAGACUGGGCUAUCUCCUGGUUGAAAAACAAGCCAAAACAAAAUAAAGCAUUUUUUUUUUUCUAAAAUAAGUUAAUGUGAUUUUAAACAAUCAUAAAGUUUUUAUUUUUAAAAUAUUUUUGUAAAGCAAAAAUGAGUUCAAUCUCUUUCCUUUACUUGCCUUUGCCUCAAACUUUUUUUUUCUUGCCUUUAUUUCAUUUUAUUCGACUUCUACUUCUUAUAUUGAAUGUCUUGGUCAAAUUUUUAAACUUGAAUUUACCAAUACUGCUUCUCAUCUGACUCAUUUAUUUCCUGAUGACAAAUUUUUUGCUCAAGUUUUUUUUUUUUUUUUUUUAGAUUUGCCAUUGUUGUUGAUACUUGCUUCUCUUGUACUCUUGUUCUUUCAGUAAACAUUUUAUUGAAGUUAUUUACAGAUUUUCUCAGGCAUGUAAAAUCUAUUAACCAACUACAUAUCUGUUUCAUCUUUAUGAUUUCAAUGCCUUUUAAAUUCAACUUUUUUUUGAGGAAUUUCUAUUCUCUCUGAAAAUUUUGAAUUCCAAAGAGAAUGGAUAAUCAAUCAUUAAAUAAGUAACUCAUUAUCUUAGUUGUCUUAAAGAAACUUAUUUAGAUUGCAGAUCUUUAAAUUGACUUGACGUGUUAUGUUGUCAUUGCUUGUAAAAUCUACCUUUAGUGGAAGCAAACAAAAAUUACUUUAAAAACAUAUAUAGAGAGGUUAGAUUUUAUACCUAGUGCAGAAAUCUCUUGAUUCAAAACAUUUGUCAAAAAUACCGUAAGUUGAAAUUGAGUUAUCUUCUGCAGAAGCCAAUUCUCCAGCAGUGUCGGUAGUAGAACUGGGGCUCUUUACUAUUCUAGUCUGUUGCUCUGAUAAGCAACAUCAGUGUGUACAGGUGAGAUUUUCAUCCAGUUAACAUUCAUUCAGAGAAUUAUAUCUUCUAAAGCUUUCUAACUCAACAAGAGCAGAGUACAUAAGCAUCCUACACAGUGCUCAACUACAAAAUAUUUGAUGAAUAAAUGGCAGGAGCUAAAUAUAACUAGAAAAAGCUGUAGAACAAAAAAGAGACAAAAUCGUAAAAGGACUAGAUCUGGAAAAAAACAUUCAUGAAGAUCGUGGAUUUUAAAGUUUAGACUCCUGAUUCAUCUCUACUUAUGCAUAAUCUGUUUUGGAACCCAUUGUAUAUGCCACUAUUUCCAGUAACUGAUCCA
rnacentral:lncRNA from 1 species